rnacentral:rRNA from 1 species
AACGAACGCUAGCGGCAGGCUUAACACAUGCAAGUCGAACGGAUCCUUCGGGAUUAGUGGCAGACGGGUGAGUAACGCGUGGGAACGUACCCUUUGCUACGGAAUAACUCAGGGAAACUUGAGCUAAUACCGUAUGUGCCCUACGGGGGAAAGAUUUAUCGGCAAAGGAUCGGCCCGCGUUGGAUUAGCUAGUUGGUGGGGUAAUGGCCUACCAAGGCGACGAUCCAUAGCUGGUCUGAGAGGAUGAUCAGCCACACUGGGACUGAGACACGGCCCAGACUCCUACGGGAGGCAGCAGUGGGGAAUAUUGGACAAUGGGCGCAAGCCUGAUCCAGCCAUGCCGCGUGAGUGAUGAAGGUCUUAGGAUUGUAAAGCUCUUUCACCGGUGAAGAUAAUGACGGUAGCCGGAGAAGAAGCCCCGGCUAACUUCGUG